GGACCUCCAAACACAGCAGCCACAAAUGCAGCCCCCGUCUCAAACACACCAGCCACAAAUUCAGCCUCAUACGCAGCCUCAACCUCUUCAGCUUGUUCAUGCUCCAGUGACUAUGCAGGCUUCAGUCAACCCACAGCAUCAACUUCACUCAACGCUGCAGCCACAUGCUCAAAUACAUUCACAGGCUCAAUCACAACCGCAUGGCCACCCCCAUCCUCAGGCUCAGCCUCAACCAUAUGCUCAAGCUCAGUCUCUCCCACAGCCCCAUCCAGUUCAGCCUCAUUUACAACAACACAUGCAGAUACCUCAAUAUCAGCAGCCUCAAUCCCAGAUGCAACAUCCACAGCCACAAAUUCAGCCUCAGCAUUCUCUUCCACAACUGCAGCCACAACGUCAUCUGCAAGCUCAGCCACAAGCACAUGUUCAAGCUCAGGCACAACCACAGCUUCAACCUCAGCCACAUCCUCGUCCGCAGCUCCCGCCCCCACCCCCGCCCCCACUCAACCAGCCUCCAAAUAUAAAUGCCCAGUCUCAGACACAAUACCCACCACCCAAUGCAGUGACGGGUCUUCAAUCUUAUCCACAUCCUCAAGCUCACCAGCAAAUGCAGUUGGGAUCUCAACAACCCCCUCACAUGCAUCCCCAGGCUGGGCCUAUUCCUCCACCACCACAUCAGAUGGGUCCCCCCCAAUCACAUGCUCCAGUGCCAAAACAGCAACAGCCUGUUUUGUUGUCUUCACAGGGUCAGGUUCCAAGCAUCCCACCAGCACAACAGCAUCUGGUUCAUCCUCAUGCUCAGCAACCUGGUCAUCCUGGUCUUCAGCGUCCUGUUUUGCAGCCAAUGCAACAACCAGUGUCUCAACAAUAUUUUCAACAUCCGCAGCCAUUUCCAGGGCAAACAUUGGGUCCUGUUCAGAAUCAGUUACAUCCACAUGGCCAUUUCAUACAGCAGCAGCCUAUGCAGUCUCAGUUACGCCCUCAGGGCCUUCAUCACAUGGAGCAGCAAAAUUCUCAGGACAAUAUGUCGUCACAACAAAAUAUUGCGCAUUCACAUGGUUUGCAAACUCACCAGCCUCAGAAUUACGCUGCAAGACCAAUGAUGCCAAGCCAUGGGGCACAAUCACAGCCCUUUCCUCAAUCUCCUGUUGGAUUUGCUGGUACAUCUCAAGUUAGGCCAAUGCAGCUUGGUGCAAACCAGCCACCGGCUAAUCAAAAUUAUCCACCGAGAUCAAACCACCAAAUGCAGAUGUCAUCUGAACAAAAAAUUGGCCAAUCUGGGCUGACCUUGAAACCUAGGGUGCUGGAUAGGCAAGGUGAUCAUAUGCCUGAGCAAAGUGUAGCUGAUAGUAAAGAUGGAUCAUCCUUUCAGGAAACUGCUCUUAAGGAACCAAAUGGUUUGGUUUCAACAUCUGGUCUCGGAGCUGAUUCGGUUCAAGUAAGAAAUAUCAAAUCUGAAACAGAUGUGCAAUCGAAGGAUGUUGUACAGAAACCAAUGGGUGGUGAUAAAGAUAGCAAUAGUCAGGUUGAUAUGCACGGCAAGGAUAUGGACUCCGAGUUGCAUGCAGGGGGAAAUGCUUCUGCAGAGCCUGCAGUCAAUCAAAUGGUUAAGAAAGAGUGUAAUGAGAGUGGGUUGGGCAAUUCCCCUGGUGCUAAGUCUGUUAAAAUUGUAGCUGCAGGACCCGAAGAUGCAACUGAUCUUCUUCCACGAGCUGAGCAUUCAGCAGAAGAUGGUAAUUCAUUGCAACAAGUAGAAUCUAGUAAGAAACGUAGUGAGUUGGAAAAAGAUGUAAUAGAUACGGCUAUGCUGGUAACUGAUGGGGCUGAUAAGGGCUCACAAGCUAUUCCUCUGGCCUCAACUCAUAUCCCUGACAGUUCUGCCGAGUCUCAGACUCCUCUUACUGGUGGAGAACGUUUGCAGCACGGUUCUCAGGAAAGAAAUUUGAGUCAAUCCCAGCUCACAACUCAAGGUCCUGGAGUGGAUGAAUUUAGGAGCUUCCCUUCACAUGAUCAGGCGUUGGGCAAGGGCGUUAUGCCUCCUGGUCAUCCAUUCCCUCCAACUGAUCAUGGCAGGCAUCAACAUAUGCCAAUGUAUUAUGGACCAUCAGCUCACCAACAAAGUCCUGCUGGAGCUGCAAUGUUACAAUCAGCACUUCCUCAUGCACAGGUGCCAGGGCAACCCCCGAACAUGUUAAGGCCUCAAGGACCUGGACAUUUACCUCAGCCAGGACAGCCUUUAAACCCACCUGAUCAUUUACAGCCACCUGUGCUGAGGCAGCCUCAGGGUUCAUUUCAUCCUGAAAUUGCUUCGGGUGGAAUUCCUGGUCCAAGCUCUUCAUCAUUAGGGAGGGGACCUAGUCAUUUUGGUCCUGAGAGAAAUUUUGGACUGCAAUCUUUUGGUCCUCAAGGGCAUUAUAACCAAGGUCAUGUGCCUCCUUCACAUGCUGGGCUCCCUAGGAUGGCUCAAGGUGAACCUCCGCAUGGUGGAUUAAUGGGAAUUGCACCUCCACAUGGCCCUGAAGGGCAGAUUGGUCAGCAGCGUCCUAGUAAUAGAAUGGAAAGUGAAGUCUUUUUGGAUCAGAGGUCCCGUCAUUUGGAUGGCAGACAAUCUGAUUCCCAUUUGCUUGGUUCUUCGGAAGGUGCUCCAUUUGGACAGCCUCAUGGUAUUGAAGCUAAUGUGAUGAGAAUGAAUGGGCCCCCGGGUACUCUUUCCUCCAGUUUUCGGGAUGAAAGGUUCAAUCAUCGGACAGAGGAGGGCUUGAAUCACUUUCCAAUGGAACCAGCUUGGCAUGUUGAUCGAGGUGAGCUUAAAGAAGAUCUGAAACAACAUCCUAGGAACCCUCAUUUGGACACUGAGCCUGGACCAAAGUUUGGGGGCUACUUCUCCUCAUCAAGGCCCAAUGAUAGGGGACCGCAUGGAUUAAACUAUGAUGCUGGAUUGAAUUUAGAUCCGGGUGUUGAUAAUGCUCCUAGACUUUUGCCUCCCUAUCAUCCUAGUGGUUCAAAUGAUACCGGAUAUAGAUCACGACCAGUUGGUCCUGAUGGUAACAUUGGGAGAGCUGAUUCUACUCGUACUCAUCCAGAUUUUCUUGGACCGUUUCCUGGAUUUGGUCGGCAUCAUAUGGAUCGUGCGGCUCCAAGAAGCCCGGGUAGAGAAUAUCAUGGUUUUUCACCUCGUGAUUUAAGAGGUUUUUCUGGCCUGGAUGAUAGUAAUGGCCGGGAAUCACGCACAUUUGGUGAAGGAUCCAGAUCCUUCAACUUGCGAAGAGGUGAGCUUGACGGGCCAAGGAAUGUGCAGAGCGGUGAUUCGAUGGGGCAAGAUAUUCUCCCUAGUCGUUUAAGGAGGGGCGAUUUUUUGGGCCCUCAGAACUUACGUGGUGAUUUGCAUUUUGGUGAGGCUGAGGGUUUUGGUUCUUUUCAUGGUCACGCACGGAUGGGGGAUCUUUCUGGUCCUGGGAACUUCCUGCAUCGUCUACCUCAUGGUGAACCGUUUGGAGGUGACAGGUCAGGUCAGCCACGUCUUGGUGAGCCUGGAUUUAGGAGCAGUUAUUCCCUCACUGGUGGCAUGGAUCCUUUUGAUAACUCAAGGAAGCGGAAGCUAGCAAGCAUGGGGUGGUGCCGCAUCUGUAAAGUUGAUUGUGAAACAGUUGAAGGGCUAGACCUGCACUCACAGACAAGGCAACACCAAAAGAUGGCUAUGGAUAUGGUUCUAAGCAUAAAGAAACAUAAUGCAAAGAAGCAGAAAACUUCCAAUGUUCAUUCUUCACUUGAGGAACCAAGCAAAUCAAGAGGUAGCAAUUAUGAGGUUCGUGGCAAUAAGUCUUGAGUCAUUGUGCUAAGCUGCAAGCUGGACUGAAGCAGUCUCACACUUGACUUGGGAUCGAAGUCGUGUCUUGGUAUUUUUCCAUGUUGCAAUAUCGGUGAUUCGUCUUUCUACGUCUCUCUUCGUCAUUCGGGGUGGUUUAUGCUAGUUUUGAUAUUUCAGGUUGCUGUUCUUUUAGUGGAGAUGGUAUUUUGGAACUGAAGUUUCAGUCGCAGAAAGGAAAACGAAGGCAAUAUUUCAAAACUUGGGCUCUUUGACAUUGUUCUUGGUGUGUUGCACAGAUCUUUUCAAUUCAACAAUUCUUUUUUCGGCGAAGCAGACAACAUGAAGGUUGAAAGUUCGGUUGAAAGGUUUACUCUCAAUUUUUUUAUAUGAACGCAUCUGGUGCAUUCCCUUUCUCGCAAAAUGUUGGGAGUAGUAUCAAAGCUUUGGGGUAGGCUUUACUUUGUUGGAUGACAAUCUUGGACUUCAAACACUGCUCCUUCGUUGUGUUUAAACCAGAGGUUCGUUUAUGUCAACUUUUCAACUACAGUCAUGCUAGGUAUCAUGAAAAACCUUUCAUGAAAAUAAUCAUAAAAGGUUUGUGACCUUUGGAUUACACUUAGAAUAAAGCACCACACACUAAUCAAGGUAAUCCAAUGAUCAUAAUUCUUUCAUGAUCAUUUUCAUGAAAAAAAUUUCAUGAUCCAUAAUUUUUCUCUUUCAACUAUCACACCCAAAAAACCGAACUCUGUGUUACGUAAAGUUGCUAGAGUAUGAUUAAUCUCUGGAUUUGAAAACAUUGCUUAUGUACUUAGUAUUGGUCAUGAUUCACAAGAACAUUCUAUAAUCUUAGUAAGAGGGGAAAGGGUUAAGGAUUUACCUAGUGUGAGAUAUCACAUUGUUCGAGAAGCUUUAGUAUGUAUAAGAAUAUGAUUCUGGUUGUGCUUAUGCAACGAUGCUACGAGCUGAAACUCGACUAGUUUGAGGAGAAUUUACCAGACUGCCAAUAUGUCAUCUGAUUAUGGUUAUGCUUAUGUAAUGAUGCUAUGAGCUGAAACUCGACUAGUUUGAGGAGAAUUUACCCGACUGUCAAUAUGUUAUCUUUGUGUGGUUGCAGUGAUUGUAGAGCUCAAACAUGAACUAUUUUUCUUUCUUGUUACAAAGUAUUAAAAAAAGAAGGCUAAAUUACACAAUUAGCCCUAAAUUGUGUUUUUAUUUUCA